AGGGUUUGAUUCUGGCUCAGGACGAACGCUGGCGGCGUGCCUAAUACAUGCAAGUCGAGCGAAGUUUUUCUGGUGCUUGCACUAGAAAAACUUAGCGGCGAACGGGUGAGUAACACGUAAAGAACCUGCCUCAUAGACGGGGACAACUAUUGGAAACGAUAGCUAAUACCGGAUAACAGCAUAAAUCGCAUGAUAUAUGUUUAAAAGUUGGUUUCGGCUAACACUAUGAGAUGGCUUUGCGGUGCAUUAGCUAGUUGGUGGGGUAAAGGCCUACCAAGGCGACGAUGCAUAGCCGACCUGAGAGGGUGAUCGGCCACACUGGGACUGAGACACGGCCCAG
rnacentral:rRNA from 1 species